AAUUAAAUUUUAAAAUUUAAAUCUAAAAUUUUAUAUUUUUGUUCAAAUUUAAAAGUUAAAAUUUUAAAAAUUUAAAUUAUUUAAAAUAAAAUUUUGUAAAAAGAAAUAUUAUUUGUAAUCAAUAAAAAAAAUUGCUAAAUAUAUCUAAAGGCAAUUUCGAAAUAAAUUAUAUUUUAUUGUCAAGAUUAAUUACUGAAUUUUGUAGACUGAACUAAAUAUAGUAAUAUUAUAAACACUGUAAUCCAGAAUUACAUUACUGUAUUAAACCAAACGCACUAAUUUAGAAAUCUAAGAUACCUGAAUAUAUCGAUAUACUCUGUAAUUUUACAUAAUUCGAAUCAAGCGUGCCUUUAAGAGAAAAUUGUAUUGCUGUAUAAUAUAGUAUUAACUAAAAUUCAAGUUAAAAAAUUGUGUAUUUAAAGUAGACCAGUAAAAUUUAAUAGUGAGGUGGUGGCAUGCAUCCCUUGUUAAGGGUCUGUUUGGUUCAACCUAAAAUGAUAAAAAUUAAUUUUUUUGUGAAAAAAAAAAUUUUAUGUUAUGUAGUGCUUAGUUUGUAAGAAAAAAAAUACUUUUGCAUCGAUAUUUGUUUGGUUGAAAAAAAUAAUAAUAUUUGUUUGGUUCGGUAAAAAGAAUGAUAAAAAAUUACGCAGCAUGAAUUUUCGUUUUCCGUCAAACAAUUAGCGAAAAAUAAAAAUUUUAAUUUUUUACUAAAUCCGUAGAAAAUAUUUUUACGGAGAACCCAAAAAAGCGAAAAAUUAUUUUUUAUG
rnacentral:lncRNA from 1 species